UACGAGGGGUGCAAGCGUUAUUCGGAAUGACUGGGCGUAAAGGGUGCGUAGACGGCAUUCAAAGUCUGUUGUUAAAGACUCCGGCCUAACUGGAGGAUUGCAGUAGAUACUGGUUUGCUAGAGGGUGAAAGAGAGAAGUGGAAUUCCCGGAGUAGCGGUAAAAUGCGUAGAUCUCGGGAGGAACACCGAUGGCGAAGGCAGCUUCUUGGUUCAUACCUGACGUUGAGGCACGAAAGCGUGGGGAGCAAACAGG
rnacentral:rRNA from 1 species